rnacentral:snRNA from 1 species
AUGUUGCUCCGGACGAGGUUGAUGGGCGAUCAUGAAGGCCCAUGGCCUAGAUGAGUGGCCUACAUUGCAUUUGGUGGGUGUGUUGGUCUAUCAUCUUCACAAGUAGGAGAGUGGACCUCGUAAUUUGUGGGUGUGCUGAUCUACUAUCUUCACAAGUAGGAGAGUGGACCUCAUAAUUUGUGGAUGUGCUGGUCUACCAUCUUCACAAGUAGGAGAGUGGACCUCAUAAUUUGUGGUAGUGGGGGUACAUGUUCACACGCCCCCUGU